GAUGAAGAACGUAGCGAAUUGCGAUAAGUAAUGUGAAUUGCAGAUUUUCAGUGAAUCAUCGAAUCUUUGAACGCACAUUGCGCCCCUUGGUAUUCCAUGGGGCAUGCCUGUUCGAGCGUCAUUUGUACCUUCAAGCUCUGCUUGGUGUUGGGUGUUUGUCUCGCCUCUGCGUGUAGACUCGCCUCAAAACAAUUGGCAGCCGGCGUAUUGAUUUCGGAGCGCAGUACAUCUCGCGCUUUGCACUCAUAACGACGACGUCCAAAAGUACAUUUUUACACUCUUGACCUCGGAUCAGGUAGGGAUACCCGCUGAACUUAAGCAUAUCAAUAAGCGGAGGA
rnacentral:misc_RNA from 1 species